AUUGAACGCUGGCGGCAGGCUUAACACAUGCAAGUCGAACGAGUAGCGGAAGGGUGAGUAAUGCUUGGUAAUCUGGCUUCUGGAGGGGGAUAACGACGGGAAACUGUCGCUAAUUACUCGUAUCUUAGGAUGGGUCAAAGUGGGAUUAGGUAGUGGGUGGGGUAAUGGCCUACCAAGCCGACGACCUGUAGCUGGUCUGAGAGGAUGACCCGCCACACCGGGACUGAGACACGGCCCGGACUCCGACGGGAGGCAGCAGUGGGGAAUAUUGCGCAAUGGGGGAAAGCUGACGCAGCCAUGCCGCGUGAAGGAAGAAGGCCUUCGGAUUGUAAAGCGCUUUCGGUGACGAGGCGUUAACCACAGAAGAAGCACCGGCUAACUUCGUGCCAGGAGCCGCGGUAAUAC
rnacentral:rRNA from 1 species